rnacentral:rRNA from 1 species
GUGGGGAAUAUUGGACAAUGGGCGAAAGCCUGAUCCAGCCAUGCCGCGUGUGUGAAGAAGGCCUUUUGGUUGUAAAGCACUUUAAGCGAGGAGGAGGCUACUUAGAUUAAUACUCUUGGAUAGUGGACGUUACUCGCAGAAUAAGCACCGGCUAACUCUGUGCCAGCAGCCGCGGUAAUACAGAGGGUGCAAGCGUUAAUCGGAUUUACUGGGCGUAAAGCGCGCGUAGGUGGCCAAUUAAGUCAAAUGUGAAAUCCCCGAGCUUAACUUGGGAAUUGCAUUCGAUACUGGUUGGCUAGAGUAUGGGAGAGGAUGGUAGAAUUCCAGGUGUAGCGGUGAAAUGCGUAGAGAUCUGGAGGAAUACCGAUGGCGAAGGCAGCCAUCUGGCCUAAUACUGACACUGAGGUGCGAAAGCAUGGGGAGCAAACAGGAUUAGAUACCCUAGUAGUCC